GCCAGGCAUGGUGGUGCCUGCCUAUAAUCCCAGUGACUUGGGAGGCUGAGGCAGGAAGAUCACAAAUUUGUGAGAGGCCCUAUGUAACUUAAUAAGAUCUUGUCUCAA
rnacentral:sRNA from 1 species